CUCAAAGGAAUUGACGGGGGCCCGCACAAGCAGCGGAGCAUGUGGUUUAAUUCGAAGCAACGCGAAGAACCUUACCUGGACUUGACAUCUCCUGAAUAGUGCAGAAAUGCAUGAAGCCCUUCGGGGCAGGAAGACAGGUGGUGCAUGGUUGUCGUCAGCUCGUGUCGUGAGAUGUUGGGUUAAGUCCCGCAACGAGCGCAACCCUUAUAAUUAGUUGCUAACAGUAAGAUGAGCACUCUAAUUAGACUGCCCGGGUUAACCGGGAGGAAGGUGGGGAUGACGUCAAAUCAUCAUGCCCCUUAUGUCCAGGGCAACACACGUGCUACAAUGGUGAGAACAAAGAGAGGCAAAGCCGCGAGGUGGAGCAAAACUCAAAAACUCAUCCCAGUUCGGAUUGCAGGCUGCAACUCGCCUGCAUGAAGCUGGAGUUGCUAGUAAUCGCGAAUCAGCAUGUCGCGGUGAAUACGUUCCCGGGCCUUGUACACACCGCCCGUCACACCAUGAGAGCCUGCAACACCCGAAGUCCAUGAGGUAACCAGUAAUGGAGCCAGUGGCCGAAGGUGGGGCCGGUGAUUGGGGUG
rnacentral:rRNA from 1 species